AAAUCUGGAGUAAGCUGGGUUGAUAUGCACAUAUUAGCACAUAGAGUGAUUCUGGAGUCACUAAAGAAGGGACACAUUGUUGUGGGCAAUGUUGAUGA